GUGGUAGUAGCUCAGUUGGUUAGAGCACCAGAUUGUGGAUCUGGGGGUCGGGGGUUCAAUUCCCCUCUACCACCCCA
rnacentral:tRNA from 1 species